rnacentral:rRNA from 1 species
UACGGGGGGAGCAAGCGUUGUUCGGAUUUACUGGGCGUAAAGGGCGCGUAGGCGGCCAGCACAAGUCAGUUGUGAAAUCUCCGGGCUUAACUCGGAAAGGUCAACUGAUACUGUGCGACUAGAGUGCAGAAGGGGCAACUGGAAUUCUCGGUGUAGCGGUGAAAUGCGUAGAUAUCGAGAGGAACACCUGCGGCGAAGGCGGGUUGCUGGGCUGACACUGACGCUGAUGCGCGAAGGCUAGGGGAGCGAACGGG